UACGAAAGGGGCAAGCGUUACUCGGAAUUACUGGGCGUAAAGCGUGCGUAGGUGGUUUGUUAAGUCUGUUGUGAAAGCCCCGGGCUCAACCUGGGAAUGGCAAUGGAUACUGGCAGGCUAGAGUGCGGUAGAGGGUAGUGGAAUUCCCGGUGUAGCGGUGAAAUGCGUAGAGAUCGGGAGGAACACCAGUGGCGAAGGCGGCUACAUGGACCAGCACUGACACUGAGGCACGAAAGCGUGGGGAGCAAACAGG
rnacentral:rRNA from 1 species